CGUUGCCAUCUCCCACCGAGUGUGCCAGACCAGAAACAACUCCGCUCCAGAGAGAGUAAAGACGCAAAGAUGAAGGUGUCGUACGUGGCUGCUUUCCUCAUAGGGCUCCUCUCCCUGGCGAGCACCAGAGCAGCUCCAUUGAAAAACCAGUUGUGGUCCGUGGUCUCUGGUAGCGUAGACACCGGCAACGUGGGCGAUGGCAGUUUUGACGACAACAGUCAAAACAACCAAUUCUGGUCAGUGGAAUCUGGUAGCGUAGACACCGGCAACGUGGGUGACGGCAGCUUUGACGACAACAGCCAAAACAACCAAUUCUGGUCAGUGGAAUCUGGUAGUGUAAACACCGGCAACGUGGGUGACGGCAGCUUUGACGACAACAGCCAAAACAACCAAUUCUGGUCGGUGGACUCCGGUAGUGUAGACACCGGCAACGUGGGCGCCGGCAGCUUUGACGACAACAGCCAAAACAACCAAUUCUGGUCAGUGGAAUCUGGUAGCGUAAAGACCGGCAACGUGGGUGAUGGCAGCUUUGACGACAACAGCCAAAACAACCAAUUCUGGUCAGUGGACUCCGGUAGUGUAGACACCGGCAACGUGGGCGCCGGCAGCUUUGACGACAAGAGCCAAAACAACCAAUUCUGGUCAGUGGUCUCUGGUAGCGUGGACACCGGCAACGUGGGCGACGGCAGCUUUGACGACAACAGCCAAAACAACCAAUUCCAGCCAGUGAAAGGAUGUUGAGAUCAUUGGAGAGGGUUUCGAGAAGAGCCCUGGGAUGGAUUCAACGCCUGGAAAAAAAAGCAUCUCAAGUACUAGGCUCCCAGAAACCCUCCACGAGAACGGCCCUGAUGCUUUCUGUCCCGUGCUCUCACCCAUCUCAGCCUGAACAUGAAUAACACGGCACGCUGCGGUGGAAUUUGCUUUUGCCUUGUUCAAUGAUUUGACUGUAGGGUGCAGUUCUUACCCUUUUGUUGCCCCUCAGAUGCCUCUGCAAUAAUGCAAAUAAAUCUGUUUCCACUCA